rnacentral:rRNA from 1 species
CCCUUAGAUGUUCUGGGCUGCACGCGCGCUACACUGAAGCUACCAACACGUUUUCCCUCCCUGAGAAGGGCGGGUAACCUUUUGAAUCAGCUUCGUGGUAGGGAUCGGGGCUUGCAAUUGUUCCCCGUGAACCAGGAAUUCCUAGUAGACGCGAGUCAUAAGCUCGCAUCGAUUAAGUCCCUGCCCUUUGUCCACACCGCCCGUCGCUACUACCGAUUGAACGUUUUAGUGAGGCAUUUGGACCGACGCAUCUCAGUUUAACCGCUGGUUUGUGUUGGAAAGACUUCCAAACUUGAGCGUUUAGAGGAAGUAAAAGUCGUAACA